rnacentral:rRNA from 1 species
AUUGAACGCUGGCGGGAUGCCUUACACAUGCAAGUCGAACGGAGUGGCGAACGGGUGAGUAAUGUCUCGGAACCUGCCCAGUAGCGGGGGAUAACUACGCGAAAGCGUAGCUAAUACCGCAUACUAUUGGAGCGGCCUAUGUCGGAUUAGCUAGUUGGUGGGGUAACGGCGCACCAAGGCGACGAUCCGUAGCUGGUUUGAGAGGACGAUCAGUCACACUGGGACUGAGACACGGCCCAGACUCCUACGGGAGGCAGCAGGGGGGAAUAUUGGACAAUGGGGGAAAGCAUGAUCCAGCCAUCCCGCGUGUGUGAAGAAGGUCUUCGGGUUGUAAAGCACUUUUGGUAGGGAAGCGGUACCUACAGAAUAAGCACCGGCUAACUUCGUGCCAGCAGCCGCGGUAAUUC